GGGUUAUUAGCUCAGUUGGUAGAGCAGCAGACUCUUAAUCUGACGGUCCGGGGUUCGACUCCCCGAUGACCCACCA
rnacentral:tRNA from 1 species